rnacentral:rRNA from 1 species
AAUGAACGUUGGCGGCGUGGAUUAGGCAUGCAAGUCGAACGCUUCAUGUAGCAAUACAUGAGGAGUGGCGUAAGGGAGAGUAAUACAUAGUUAGCUACCCUCGGGUCUGGGAUAGCGGCGGGAAACUGCCGGUAAUACCAGAUGAUAUCUUCGGAUCAAAGGUGUAAUUUCGCCCGAGGAGGUGACUGUGUCCUAUCAGCUUGUUGGCGGGGUAACGGACCC